rnacentral:lncRNA from 1 species
CUGAAGCAAACAUUGCCACAUGAUGGAAGCUGUGUUCUGGAAUACGCUGAAAAUCCUUGCUUAGAAGGAGGAGUUUUUCUCUCUUGAGCUUCACUGUUUAUGGUAGAUGUCAGUUUUUUUUCUGUUUGUAGGUCACAUGACAAAACUUUAUCACUGUUACUAACAGAACAAGUAUUUUCUGUUUUAGAAGUCCUUGAGAGUUUGACAGCUGCUCCAAAAGUUUCCAGUUCUGUAAAAUCAUCAUCAAAAUCCAUCCCUGCAUCAUCUGUAAGUGGAACCUUCCUGUACUGGUAGGCAUCAGAAGACACAUCCCACUGAAACAGAUUGUCCUCAUCUGGUUUGUCCAUCAAAACAUCAGAAAUGGAAAUGUAAGACUUUUUAGUUGCUAGGAAGUCCACUGGAAUUUCAUGGAAUAUUUGGU